rnacentral:piRNA from 1 species
UAUAGUGCAAAUAGACCCAAAGAUGAUGUGU